GACGAACGCUGGCGGCGCGCCUAAUACAUGCAAGUCGAGCGGAACUGGGGGAGCUUGCUCCUUCCAGUUUAGCGGCGGACGGGUGAGUAACACGUGGGCAACCUGCCCUGCAGAUCGGGAUAACUCCGGGAAACCGGUGCUAAUACCGAAUAGCUUGGCGCCUCUCCUGAGGCGCUACGGAAAGACGGUUUCGGCUGUCACUGCAGGAUGGGCCCGCGGCGCAUUAGCUAGUUGGUGGGGUAACGGCCCCCCAAGGCGACGAUGCGUAGCCGACCUGAGAGGGUGACCGGCCACACUGGGACUGAGACACGGCCCAGACUCCUACGGGAGGCAGCAGUAGGGAAUCUUCCGCAAUGGACGCAAGUCUGACGGAGCAACGCCGCGUGAGUGACGAAGGUUUUCGGAUCGUAAAACUCUGUUGUGAGGGAAGAACACGUACCAACUAACUAUUGGUACCUUGACGGUACCUCGCCAGAAAGCCACGGCUAACUACGUGCCAGCCGCCGCCGUAA
rnacentral:rRNA from 1 species